rnacentral:tRNA from 1 species
GCUCCUUUAGUAUUAACCAGUACAAGUGAUUUCCACUCACUAGGACUUAAUAACAACUUAAGAAGGAGCA